rnacentral:rRNA from 1 species
AACGAACGCUGGCGGCAGGCUUAACACAUGCAAGUCGAACGGUUGCGAGCAAUCGCAGCAGUGGCAGACGGGUGAGUAACACGUGGGAACCUUCCUAGGGGUACGGAACAACUCAGGGAAACUUGAGCUAAUACCGUAUACGUCCGUGAGGAGAAAGAUUUAUCGCCCUUAGACGGGCCCGCGUCGGAUUAGCUAGUUGGUGGGGUAACGGCUCACCAAGGCGACGAUCCGUAGCUGGUCUGAGAGGAUGACCAGCCACACUGGGACUGAGACACGGCCCAGACUCCUACGGGAGGCAG